AAUCAUUUCAAAGAAAGCGGCAGCUUGGCAUGGGGAAAAGUUGAGGUCAUCUUGGGCUUUUUUGCCUACAAGCAAUCACUGAGUCACCUUUUUUCUUUCGGAGUUUGAAAAAAAGUGUGAUGGGACAGGAGGCAGAAACAAAAUUUGAAGCUGGAGCUAGUGGCCUCGAUGAACAAAGAGUUGAAGCAGACAUAUCCUGGACACACAAAAGGACAGCUGAAGAGAAUCUGAACAAGCAAUGAACAACAGUGGAUUAGACACAGACAUGGAAGACAACAUUUCAGGGCAUGUGGAGAAGGAAAAUUAAUCACUUAGCCAUCAAAAAAAAUGAACAGUACUUCAGUCAGAUGCACAUGGACAGCAUAAAGCGAACUGAAAGGAUAUUGGCUUUGGAGAACAAU
rnacentral:lncRNA from 1 species